rnacentral:rRNA from 1 species
UGGGGAAUCUUCCGCAAUGGACGAAAGUCUGACGGAGCAACGCCGCGUGAGUGAUGACGGCCUUCGGGUUGUAAAGCUCUGUUAAUCGGGACGAAUGGUUCUUGUGCAAAUAGUGCGAGGAUUUGACGGUACCGGAAUAGAAAGCCACGGCUAACUACGUGCCAUCAGCCGCGGUAAUACGUAGGUGGCAAGCGUUGUCCGGAAUUAUUGGGCGUAAAGCGCGCGCAGGCGGAUUGGUCAGUCUGUCUUAAAAGUUCGGGGCUUAACCCCGUGAUGGGAUGGAAACUGCCAAUAUAGAGUAUCGGAGAGGAAAGUGGAAUUCCUAGUGUAGCGGUGAAAUGCGUAGAUAUUAGGAAGAACACCAGUGGCGAAGGCGACUUUCUGGACGAAAACUGACGCUGAGGCGCGAAAGCCAGGGGAGCGAACGGG